GUGGGGAAUAUUGGACAAUGGGCGAAAGCCUGAUCCAGCCAUGCCGCGUGUGUGAAGAAGGUCUUCGGAUUGUAAAGCACUUUAAGUUGGGAGGAAGGGCAGUAAGUUAAUACCUUGCUGUUUUGACGUUACCGACAGAAUAAGCACCGGCUAACUUCGUGCCAGCAGCCGCGGUAAUACGAAGGGUGCAAGCGUUAAUCGGAAUUACUGGGCGUAAAGCGCGCGUAGGUGGUUUUGUAAGUUGGAGGUGAAAUCCCCGGGCUCAACCUGGGAACUGCCUCCAAAACUGCAUGGCUAGAGUACGGUAGAGGGUAGUGGAAUUUCCUGUGUAGCGGUGAAAUGCGUAGAUAUAGGAAGGAACACCAGUGGCGAAGGCGACUACCUGGACUGAUACUGACACUGAGGUGCGAAAGCGUGGGGAGCAAACAGGAUUAGAUACCCGAGUAGUCC
rnacentral:rRNA from 1 species